GUGGGGAAUCUUCCGCAAUGGACGAAAGUCUGACGGAGCAACGCCGCGUGAGUGAAGAAGGUUUUCGGAUCGUAAAGCUCUUUCGUUAGGGACGAACGUGCUCUUUGUGAAUAAUGAGGAGUAAUGACGGUACCUAAAUAAGAAGCCACGGCUAACUACGUGCCAGCAGCCGCGGUAAUAUGUAGGUGGCAAGCGUUGUCCGGAAUUAUUGGGCGUAAAGCGCGCGCAGGCGGGAUAUCAAGUCUGUCUUAAAAGUGCGAGGCUCAACCUCGUGAGGGGACAGAAACUGGUAUUCUUGAGUGUCGGAGAGGAAAGUGGAAUUCCAAGUGUAGCGGUGAAAUGCGUAGAGAUUUGGAAGAACACCAGUGGCGAAGGCGACUUUCUGGACGAUGUCUGACGCUGAGGCGCGAAAGCUAGGGGAGCGAACGGGAUUAGAAACCCCGGUAGUCC
rnacentral:rRNA from 1 species